rnacentral:tRNA from 1 species
AGGGUUGUAGCUCAGUGGUAGAGCGCUUGCCUAGUAUGCAUGAGGCCCUGAGUUUGAUUCCUAGCACACAUA